GACGAACGCUGGCGGCGUGCCUAAUACAUGCAAGUCGAACGAGAGCGACCGGUGCUUGCACUGGUCAAUCUAGUGGCGAACGGGUGAGUAACACGUGGGUAACCUGCCCAUCAGAGGGGGAUAACAUCCGGAAACGGAUGCUAAAACCGCAUAGGUCUUCGAGCCGCAUGGCUUGAAGAGGAAAAGAGGCGCAAGCUUCUGCUGAUGGAUGGACCCGCGGUGCAUUAGCUAGUUGGUGAGGUAACGGCUCACCAAGGCCGUGAUGCAUAGCCGACCUGAGAGGGUGAUCGGCCACAUUGGGACUGAGACACGGCCCAAACUCCUACGGGAGGCAGCAGUAGGGAAUCUUCCGCAAUGGACGCAAGUCUGACGGAGCAACGCCGCGUGAGUGAAGAAGGUGUUCGGAUCGUAAAACUCUGUUGUUAGAGAAGAACAAGUGCUAGAGUAACUGUUAGCGCCUUGACGCUAUCUAACCAGAAAGCCACGGCUAACUACGUG
rnacentral:rRNA from 1 species